rnacentral:rRNA from 1 species
GACGAACGCUGGCGGCGUGCUUAACACAUGCAAGUCGAACGGAAAGGCCCUGCUUUUGUGGGGUGCUCGAGUGGCGAACGGGUGAGUAACGCGUGAGUAACCUGCCCUUGACUUUGGGAUAACUUCAGGAAACUGGGGCUAAUACCGGAUAGGAGCUCCUGCUGCAUGGUGGGGGUUGGAAAGUUUCGGCGGUUGGGGAUGGACUCGCGGCUUAUCAGCUUGUUGGUGGGGUAGUGGCUUACCAAGGCUUUGACGGGUAGCCGGCCUGAGAGGGUGACCGGCCACAUUGGGACUGAGAUACGGCCCAGACUCCUACGGGAGGCAGCAGUGGGGAAUAUUGCACAAUGGGCGGAAGCCUGAUGCAGCAACGCAGCGUGCGGGAUGACGGCCUUCGGGUUGUAAACCGCUUUCGCCUGUGACGAAGCGUGAGUGACGGUAAUGGGUAAAGAAGCACCGGCUAACUACGUG